GAUGAACGCUGGCGGCGUGCUUAACACAUGCAAGUCGAACGAGAAUCAACGGAUUGAGGAUUCGUCCAAAUGAAGUUGAGGAAAGUGGCGGACGGGUGAGUAACGCGUGAGGAACCUGCCUCGGAGUGGGGAAUAACAGUUGGAAACGACUGCUAAUACCGCAUGACGCUUCUUAGGGGCAUCCCUGAGAAGUCAAAGCUUUAUGUGCUGAAAGAUGGCCUCGCGUCUGAUUAGCUAGUUGGUGGGGUAACGGCCCACCAAGGCGACGAUCAGUAGCCGGUCUGAGAGGAUGAACGGCCACAUUGGGACUGAGAUACGGCCCAG
rnacentral:rRNA from 1 species